GAUGAACGCUGGCGGCGUGCUUAACACAUGCAAGUCGAACGGAAAGGCCCAAGCUUGCUUGGGUACUCGAGUGGCGAACGGGUGAGUAACACGUGGGUGAUCUGCCCUGCACUUCGGGAUAAGCCUGGGAAACUGGGUCUAAUACCGGAUAGGACCACAUUUUGGAUGGUGUGGUGGAAAGUUUUUCGGUGUGGGAUGAGCUCGCGGCCUAUCAGCUUGUUGGUGGGGUAAUGGCCUACCAAGGCGUCGACGGGUAGCCGGCCUGAGAGGGUGUACGGCCACAUUGGGACUGAGAUACGGCCCAGACUCCUACGGGAGGCAGAAGUGGGGAAUAUUGCACAAUGGGCGCAAGCCUGAUGCAGCGACGCCGCGUGGGGGAUGACGGCCUUCGGGUUGUAAACUCAUUUCGCUAGGGACGAAGCGUUAUGUGACGGUACCUGGAGAAGAAGCACCGGCUAACUACGUG
rnacentral:rRNA from 1 species